UACGUAGGGUGCAAGCGUUUGUCCGGAAUUAUUGGGCGUAAAGAGCUCGUAGGCGGUCUGUCGCGUCUGGUGUGAAAACUCAGGGCUUAACCCUGAGCUUGCAUCGGGUACGGGCAGACUAGAGUGCGGUAGGGGAGACUGGAAUUCCGUGGUGUAGCGGUGAAAUGCGCAGAUAUCAGGAGGAACACCGGUGGCGAAGGCGGGUCUCUGGGCCGUAACUGACGCUGAGGAGCGAAAGCAUGGGGAGCGAACAGGA
rnacentral:rRNA from 1 species